CCUACGGGAGGCAGCAGUGGGGAAUAUUGGGCAAUGGGCGCAAGCCUGACCCAGCAACGCCGCGUGAAGGAAGAAGGCUCUCGGGUUGUAAACUUCUUUUAUCAGGGACGAAGCAAGUGACGGUACCUGAUGAAUAAGCCACGGCUAACUACGUGCCAGCAGCCGCGGUAAUACGUAGGUGGCAAGCGUUAUCCGGAUUUACUGGGUGUAAAGGGCGUGUAGGCGGGAAAGCAAGUCAGAUGUGAAAACCAUGGGCUCAACCUGUGGCCUGCAUUUGAAACUGUUUUUCUUGAGUACUGGAGAGGAAGAGGGAAUUCCUAGGGUGGCGGGGAAAGGCGUAGAUAUUAGGAGGAAAACCAGGGGCGAAGGCGGUCUGCUGGACAGCAACUGACGCUGAGGCGCGAAAGCGUGGGGAGCAAACAGGAUUAGAUACCCGGGUAGUC
rnacentral:rRNA from 1 species